rnacentral:lncRNA from 1 species
GAUGAUGACUAGAUCUUGGUCCACUAUUUUCUUUCUCUUGAAAAAAGAAAAGAAAUAAGAAGAAAAAGACUCAUUCUAUCUCCACUUUCUCUCUUUAAGAAGAUCUAUGGACCCCCUAUCGAGUCAUGCCUUCCUCUUCUAGGGACUCAAGUUGACCCUCAGCAAGAAAACUCCUAAACUGCCUUGGUGCUCAAUCAGCCUAUUGAAUCGACCACUCGAUCAAUAGUCUUUUUUACUUAUGAUUUAAUUCUAUUGAAUUCAUGAAAUAGAAAUUGAUCAUAUUUUUGAUAUUUUAAAUAGGAUUAACAAAUUCGCCUAACAAAGUUCGAAGAUCUAAGAUGAAUGAGAUAAGUGAAUUUUAUACUUCUUAUUUAUUUUUAAAUUAUCAUAUUUUCUAUGCAUAUGAU